GAUGAAGAACGUAGCGAAAUGCGAUAAGUAGUGUGAAUUGCAGAAUUCAGUGAAUCAUCGAAUCUUUGAACGCACAUUGCGCCCUUUGGUAUUCCAUAGGGCAUAUCUGUUCGAGCGUCAUUAAAAUCACUCAAGCUUAGGUUUACCUAUUGCUUGGUCUUGGAGAUGGAAGCCAAUUUAUUGGAAUCCUCUUCGAAAUUCAAUGGCGAAGACCCUUGCUCUCCCAAGUGUAGUAAUAACUUAUGUCACUGAAGGAAGCGAGAAAUCUUCUGCCGUAACCCCCAUAUUUUCUAUGAUUGACCUCGGAUCAGGUAGGGAUACCCGCUGAACUUAAGCAUAUCAAUAAGCGGAGGA
rnacentral:misc_RNA from 1 species